GGACCUUGAUUUCAAAAAAGAAAUUAGGCAUGAGGCGGCAAGCUGCUCAGAGAAGGUGGGCUCCAUUCAAGGGAUAAAUCAUUAUUGUUUUAAGCCAAUCAUGUAAUCCUAUUUCUCUUUGCUGUGAUUGGUUGGAAUGGCCACGUGACCCUUUCUGGCCAAUGAGAUAAAAGGGCGGACCUGGAAAGGGGUUUCUCGUUAGUCAAAAAUGAGAGGCCAGUAUGUAGAGUGCUUCCUCUUCCCUUCCCAACUUUGGGUAGGUUUUUGAGGUGAUAGUGGUUAGAGCUUGAGGGACAGUAUUCCUAACUCACUGAGGAUGAUCGAGUGGACGGAUGGAACAGGAGUAAGUUCUGAAUGACACUGUGGAGCGACGGAAUCAACGGCACCACCGACUUUCUCUGGCAUCCUGUUCUGUGAGAUAUUGCUGGAUUCAGGACAAGAAGCCUUGUGCACUUUGGGCUCCUCUCCGAAAUUGGUGCCCUUCCGUAGGGCUUCUCACCCAAUGAGUUUGACCGGGAGUUUGAGGGACCAAUAAUCUUCUGUAAAUAUCAACAUCAGUCUUUGUGAGAGAGGAAGAGUUGACAGUAUACAGAUCACACCUUCACACUAGGCUACCAGCAGAAACUUCCAGUUUACCCCUUUGUCACCUGUGCUCCAAAGGUCACCAGAGAGCAUUGAGUAGAGUUCCCUGUGCUAUAUGAUGACUCCUUGGUGACCGAACGGCAACCUCUCCCCUCCUAAUGUGGCCCGGGUUCCCAGACUCCUUAGCCUCAUUUUUCUUUAAGGGAAGAUGCAGCACGAGACUAUUUUCAUACUUCAGUCUAAGGAUACUCAGGGAUUUCAGGUGUGCAUUUCCAUUUCUAGACAUAGUCUGUUAAUUACACCCUGUUUUAAAAUAAGUUCCUGUCUACCCUUCUUUUCAAAGAAUCUUUUAACUCAGGCAUUAAGUUGCACAGC